rnacentral:lncRNA from 1 species
UUGAUGUAGGGUGAAUGAUUCAACAGCUAAAACAAGAAGAGAUGGUAGAAAGGGAGAGAGGAAGGAGAACAGAGACAGUGAGCAGAGAGGCAAACGGCUGAAGCCAACGUUAUAAUUUAAUCAAAAUUCAUCAACUGAGAAAUUACAAACCAAUGAUAGGUUUAAAUAAUGAAAACCUAGAAAUAUAGGGCCAAGCCCAUUAUUCAAGUCCUAAUUAAAAUACGUAAACUUAAAUAAAAGUCCAACUGAAACAAUAAUAAAAGUCCAACUAAAAUACUGAAACAAUAAUAAAAGUCCAACUAUAAAGGAUGUCCUCAUCAACUCUCCCGAGGUGGGAGAAAACUCGACCCUGUCGAGUGGAUAUAACACCGUAGACUCUCGUCAAUCUCCCAACCAUAAGCUGAGUGGUUGGGCAAGUGUCUUCCGGCGUCUGUAGAAAUGCGUCAGUGGCGGUCUGAAUCUGGUGUCCUCAUCAACUCCCCUUGGGUGGACGGGAGGCGAUCUGGACCAAGGAAGAUCCUGCUGACUCCGAUAAAGCUCUAGCAAAUCUGGAUCCAAAAACUGUAGUGUCUCCCUGGAGAUCCAUGCACAAUCAGAAUCUGGUCGACCAACCCAACGAACAAGGAAGCGCUGAACCUCUCCAUCACUAGUUAACACAGUUUCUUCAUCUAAAAUAGCAUCAAUUUUAUCUGUGUGUGCUGUGAGAGGUGGUAGUGGGUUAGAGGGGGCCAAAGAAUUAGGAUCAAGGUCCACAAAAGGAGGUAACAGGGGAUCAUCUGAAGGAAUGAAAUGGCCUUUAUAAGCUACAAGGUCUUCAACAUUGAAAGUAUGGUGGUAACCAAUGUGGGAUGGAAUGUCAACAAUAUAUGCAUUUGGACCAACUUGCUUUAAAAUUUUAAAAGGACCAGCACUACGAGCUUGCAAUUUGGAGGCGGGUCCAUGUAGACGCCGCUCUGGCCUAAUGCGAACCAUAACGUAAUUCCCAACAUUAAACUCAAUAUGUCGUUUAUGUAAAUCAGCUUGUAGUUUAUAAUUUGCAUUACUAGCUUCAAGUUGUUUAUUGAUCUCAAUGUGCAAAUCACGAAGGUGCUGUGCAAAUGCUUCGGCUGAUACUGACACUCUAGCCUGUGGGGACAUAGGGAUGAGAUCUAAUGGUUUCCUAGGCUUGUAUCCGUGAACGGUUUCAAAUGGACUCAUACCUAAUGAACGAUUUACGGAGCUAUUAUACGCGAUUUGAGCGACAGGAAGGAUUAAAUCCCAAUUUCGAAGGUUCUCCCGGACCAGGCAAUGUAAUAAGUUACCAAGACUCCGAUUAACAACUUCGGUCUGACCGUCAGUUUGAGGGUGGUAGGCUGUAGAAAAUUUCAAUUUGGUACCCAUCUUGUGCCACAAAGUCCUCCAAAAAUGGCUAGUGAAGCGAACGUCCCUAUCGGACACGAUGGUCUUGCGAAACCCAUACAGUUUGACAAUCUCAUUAAAGAAUAACAUGGCAACCUUGGACGCAUCCGAUGUUUUGCUACAGGGGAUAAAGUGAGCCAUUUUCGAGAAACGAUCGACAACCACGAAAAUAGAAUCAUGCUUCUUUGGGGUGCGUGGCAGUCCUAGCACAAAAUCCAUACUAACGUCUUGCCAAGGACAAUUGGGAACGGGAAGAGGAGUGUAUAGGCCUGUGUUCUGCUUCUUCUGUUUGGCCAAUUGACAAGUGUUACCUUUUUUUUUUUUUUUUUUUUUUUUUUUUUUCUUUUUUUUUUUUUUUUUUUUUUUUUUUUUUUUUUUUUUUUGACUUUUUUUUUUUUUGACUCUUUUUUUUUUUAAUAAUACAAAAUCAGAAUAAUAAAAUAAUAAAUGAGCCCAUUUCACAAAUGUGGGCCUCAAUUACACUCAAAAUCUUGAUAACUAAUAACCCAACCCAUUUAAUUAUUAAACCAAUUAACCCAAAACCCAAUGGAUGACUAAUACCCAACCCACUUAAUUAAUAACCCAAUUAAUAAUUAAUAAACCAAUUAAGCCCAAACCCAAGUGAUACCAAUAAACCAAGCCCAAACCCGAUUUAUACAAAGAAACCCGCCCAUUGAUAUAUCCACUGCACGGCCUCUGGAUCCACUGUCUGGCGGUGCUGUGGGAGUCGCGGUGCUGUGGGAUGCUAGCUGGCUCGAAGGAGAGUCUCAAUUACUUGGGUUGCCGGCUUACUAGCAGUCGACGGUUGAAAGAUUGAUGAACUCCCGACGGGCGGCUGGCUUGGGUGGUGUGUUUUCUGUUUUUGCACUUCUGCCCCUCUUGCUGUUAGAAUUCUGGCGACAGAGAAUGUGAAGCUGUGGUGGCGGUUGACUUCUGCAAUGAAACAAGUCGUUCCCUGUGUUGCGGCAGUUUGAAUUGGGUUGUAGUGGGAUAGGAGGCUUGGGUCACGGUCGGCGGCGGCUGAGAAUUCGAUUGAAUGGAGAUUGGGUUGGGGGUUCGGCUGAAUGGAGGUUUGGUCGCGUUGUGGAUUUGGUUUGGUUAAUAUUUGGUUUAUGGCAGUGUGUUAGUUUGUUGGCAGUGGAAUACUGUGCUUGAGUGAAAAAAAUGACGAGAGUUGCUGCAGAAUGACUUGUGUGUAUAAAUUGAUUUUGUAGACGAAGUUUUACCCAAGUUUCGCUCUGAUACCAACUUGAUGUAGGGUGAAUGAUUCAACAGCUAAAACAAGAAGAGAUGGUAGAAAGGGAGAGAGGAAGGAGAACAGAGACAGUGAGCAAAGAGGCAAACGGCUGAAGCCAACGUUAUAAUUUAAUCAAAAUUCAUCAACUGAGAAAUUACAAACCAAUGAUAGGUUUAAAUAAUGAAAACCUAGAAAUAUAGGGCCAAGCCCAUUAUUCAAGUCCUAAUUAAAAUACGUAAACUUAAAUAAAAGUCCAAUUGAAACAAUAAUAAAAGUCCAACUAAAAUACUGAAACAAUAAUAAAAGUCCAACUAUAAAGGAUGUCCUCA